rnacentral:lncRNA from 13 species
AUGGCACUCGGCUCAGUGCAACCUCUGCCUCCCAGAUUCAAGCAAUUCUCCUGCCUCAGUCUCCACAGUAGCUGGAACUACAGGGAACAUGACAUCCUCUUCCCAGGGUACACCCACCUGCAGAGGGCCCAGCCCCAUCACUGGAGCCACUGGAUUCUGAGCAUCAUUGCAGGAUGAGUAUUUUGUGUCAAGUGGAUUCAAGGGACAGUGCGAAGGAUCCAUGGCCUCAGUCAUGAAGACCCUCCCAAGAGCCAACCAUCCUGGGCACAUAUAAAUGAGUGGAGACAUGGAACUCACCCUUACAAGGCCUAGAACUUGACAGAGCAUACAAGACAGAAGCCCAAAUAACCAAGAACAGGAAGCUGAAGGUGAGAGGUGGGCCCCAAAGGAUUCUGUGAAAAUGCUGUGUGUUUGUGGAUUUAUCAUGCCGAACGAAA